rnacentral:rRNA from 1 species
UACGUAGGGGGCAAGCGUUGUCCGGAUUUAUUGGGCGUAAAGAGCGUGUAGGCGGCCAUACAGGUCCGUUGUGAAAACUGGAGGCUUAACCUCCAGACGUCGAUGGAAACCGUAUGGCUAGAGUCCGGAAGAGGAGAGUGGAAUUCCAGGUGUAGCGGUGAAAUGCGUAGAUAUCUGGAGGAACACCGGUGGCGAAGGCGGCUCACUGGCCCGGUACUGACGCUGAGGUGCGAAAGCGUGGGGAGCAAACAGG